CCUACGGGUGGCAGCAGUAGGGAAUAUUGCUCAAUGGGGGAAACCCUGAAGCAGCAACGCCGCGUGGAGGAUGAAGGUUCUCGGAUUGUUAAACCUCUUUGUUAGGGAAGUAAAUGACGGUACCUAUCGAAUUAGCACUGGCCAAUAUCGUGCCAGCAGCCGCGGGAAUACGGCGGGUGCAAGCGUUAUUCGGAAGCACUGGGCGUAAAGGGCGAGUAGGCGGGUUAGCAAGUCAGAUGUGAAAUCCUAUGGCUUAACCAUAGAAUUGCAGUUGAAACUGUGAUUCUUGAGUAUGUGAGAGGUAGGCGGAAUGCGUGGGGUAGGGGUGAAAUGCGUAGAGAUCAAGAAGAAUACUGAUUGCGAAGGCAGCCUGCUAGGCCAUGACUGACGCUGAUGCACGAAAGCGUGGGGAGCAAACAGGAUUAGAUACCCGGGUAGUC
rnacentral:rRNA from 1 species